GACGGAGGAUGCAAGUGUUAUCCGGAAUCACUGGGCGUAAAGCGUCUGUAGGUGGUCAAAUAAGUCAACUGUUAAAUCUUGAGGCUCAACCUCAAAUCGCAGUCGAAACUAUUCGACUAGAGUAUAGUAGGGGUAAAGGGAAUUUCCAGUGGAGCGGUGAAAUGCGUAGAGAUUGGAAAGAACACCGAUGGCGAAGGCACUUUACUGGGCUAUUACUAACACUGAGAGACGAAAGCUAGGGUAGCAAAUGGG
rnacentral:rRNA from 1 species